rnacentral:rRNA from 1 species
CCUACGGGAGGCAGCAGUGAGGAAUUUUCCGCAAUGGGCGAAAGCCUGACGGAGCAAUACCGCGUGAGGGAUGAAGGAUUUUGGUCUGUAAACCUCUUUUCUCAAGAAAGAAGUUCUGACGGUACUUGAGGAAUAAGCAUCGGCUAACUCCGUGCCAGCAGCCGCGGUAAUACGGGGGAUGCAAGCGUUAUCCGGAAUGAUUGGGCGUAAAGCGCCUGUAGGUUGUUUAUUAAGUCCGUUGUUAAAGCCUAGGGCUUAACCCUAGAAAAGCAAUGGAAACUAGUAGACUAGAGUAUGGCAGGGGUAGAGGGAAUUUCUAGUGUAGCGGUGAAAUGCGUAGAUAUUAGAAAGAACACCGGUGGCGAAAGCGCUCUACUGGACCAUUACUGACACUCAGAGGCGAAAGCUAGGGUAGCAAAAGGGAUUAGAUACCCCUGUAGUCCUAGCCGUAAACGAUGGAUACUAGAUGUUGUGCAUUAUGUACAGUAUCGUAGCUAACGCGUUAAGUAUCCCGCCUGGGGAGUACGCUCGCAAGGGUGAACUCAAAGGAAUUGACGG